UACGUAGGGUGCGAGCGUUAAUCGGAAUUACUGGGCGUAAAGCGUGCGCAGGCGGUUUUGUAAGCCAGAUGUGAAAUCCCCGGGCUCAACCUGGGAAUGGCAUUUGGGACUGCAAGGCUUGAGUGCGGCAGAGGAGACUGGAAUUCCUGGUGUAGCAGUGAAAUGCGUAGAUAUCAGGAGGAAUACCGAUGGCGAAGGCAGGUCUCUGGGCUGACACUGACGCUCAUGCACGAAAGCGUGGGGAGCAAGACGG
rnacentral:rRNA from 1 species